UACGUAGGUGGCAAGCGUUGUCCGGAUUUACUGGGCGUAAAGAGCGCGCAGGCGGUUCUCCAAGUCCGUUGUGAAAGCCCCGGGCUCAACCUGGGAAUGGCAGUGGAAACUAGGGGACUUGAAUCUGGCAGAGGGGGGUGGAAUUCCACGUGUAGCAGUGAAAUGCGUAGAGAUGUGGAGGAACACCGAUGGCGAAGGCAGCCCCCUGGGCUGAGAUUGACGCUCAGGCACGAAAGCGUGGGGAGCAAACAGG
rnacentral:rRNA from 1 species